rnacentral:tRNA from 1 species
GGAGAGGUGGCAGAGCGGUUGAUUGCACCGGUCUUGAAAACCGGCAGGGGCGAGAGCCCCUCGUGGGUUCGAAUCCCACCCUCUCCG